UGCAAGGCUCGUUUUGGCUCGUUAGAUUAGCCGAGUAGCAGCCAGGAAAGGCAUGUAUGGUCGCCCGGCCGGGGAAAGCUUUCUCUUCUCUUCGAUUCUGUACAUCAUAACAUAAAUGUUUAGGGCGUCCGAAUGGGAGGUAAGAAAAAGGUAGUAGGGCGCUAAGAUACACACUGUGAAGAGUAGAAGAAGAGCAACUAAUAGUUGAUAUCAGAUGAAUUAAAAAUUCUUUUUUCUGGCAUCCUUGUUGUUGUCAACCAAACAAGCCUAUAGGAGGAUAUUGAAGUUAAAUUGCUGAUUUUUCUAUUGUGGGGCCCAUCUUUUUUACUGGUUGUACAUUGUGUGAGUAUGGGACAUAUCAUUUCACCUAAUUUGGUAGUCCCUCAGCCCUCUAAGGAUCUAAUAUAGUGCAUCCACGCACUCAAAAAUUGAUGAUAGUGUUUGAUUAAGAAAUAAAGUAAGGAUAUAUGUCUCUUUCGUAUUCUCACUUAAUUUGUGCUAAACCUAUAUAUAUAUUGUGUGAGUAUGGGACAUAUCAUUUCACCUAAUUUCGUAUUCCCUCAGCCCUCUAAGGAGUAUAAUGCAUUCAAGCAUCCAAAAAUUAUGCCAAAAUAUAAGAAACUUCAGAGGACAAGAGAUAGUUUUGCAUUAAAUAGUACAACAAAUUUAAUAAACUACUAUACCAUUAAUCAUUAUUUAUCAAUUAAUCUCUAUUAAUUACAUUGAUGAUAGUGUUUGAUUAGGAAAUAAAGUAACAAUAUAUGUGUCUUUUGUAUUAUCUCUUAAUUUAUUCUAAACCUCUAUAAUAUACUAUAUUACACGAUAGAGGAAGUAGUAAUUUGCAUCAGGAGGCUGAGCUUCAGCACAUAGAUCACUAUCACCUUUGCGCCGCUAAAGAGUAUGUCCACGAUGGUAGAGCUUUGUGUGCUCGAGACUGAUGUUUGUGUAGUUGUAGUUAGGCACCUUUCUACUCGACCAAGAUGUCCACUCCACCACAUGCCGAUGUUCCCUUCUCUCUCACCAAGCAUGUAGGAUAGUGCCGCACUUUUGUAACUAAUAAGAGUUGAAUCUAUCUAUGUGGGGGCAUGCAUCAAUUUCCUACUGAUUUUAAUGCAACUCUAGAAAUAAUCUCUAAAUUAGGGCCUUAUUUUUUAUUUAGUGUCCCCCCUACUUUUGAUUGGCUUGAUUUCUAGGCCGAACUAUAGUGGUAGCCCCCAAAUCAUGUCUCUACUCUCUCUCUCUCUCUCUCUAGUCGAAUGUGUCAACAAUUCAAAUUAAAAUUCAACCAUUCAAAUUAAAAUUCAAAAGACAAGAUUCACAUCAAGAAGGACUAAAGGGGUCGGAGGUGGGGCAUGCUUGUGCUAGGUUUCCAUCCUACUCAGGAAAGAAAGCGUGAGGGGGGGGGGGUGACAAUGCACACCUAUCUGCUCAGCGAGCAGAACAGCAUCCUAUUAGGGAGGUCUAGCUCGAGCAAGAAGGCACUAGGGAGGAUGAGCCAGACAGAAUCACGUUGGUGAACCCUAGAAUGAGCAGAGGGUUGCUAGGGGAGGGAGAUGAAGUGUUGGAGAUGGGGCACGUGGAGGGAGGUUGAACUCAUGCUGACCUGAGUGAGGGAGGCACCAAGGGAAGGAGGACCUCGGGCAAACUAAAGCCGGAGAGGACAAAAGGGAGGACCUCGAACAAACUCGAGCCAGGGAGGGCAUCAAUGGGGAUCCAUUCGCUGGACCUAGGGUUCUACUUUGUGCACCUUAAUUUUCUUAGAAAAGUGGGAUGUCCGGAGGUAGGAUGGGAGGGGGGCUCAUUUGAUUGGCGAACACGAGGAGAGCUAAUGUUCAGAUUUGAGCGUGACAAUUGUGGAUACGAUGCACAGACAAGAGGGGAGCCAAUGUUUCAUAGGUGGGGAAAGAGUGAGUCAAAGGGAAAAAAAAGAAAGUAUGAGGCGUGAGAAGACCACCCUGGAUCAAGAGCAGUUACUUUUUUUCCUACUUGGUGCAUAAGUAGAGGCCUAUUAAAGUGGGGGUUUUACCUAAAAGUAGGGCAGGAGAGUACCAAAGUUGCUUUUAGAUAGCUAAGGUGAUGACGCUCUUACUUGUUAACAUUGAAUUGGCAGCCGACUUUCUUGAGUCUAGGGGUUACUUGAGCUAGAUAAGCUGAUUUGCUUCACAUCCGCACACCUAACAUUGCCAUUCAGAUCUCAUCUCCUAACAAAAAUAGCUUCUCCUCUACCACCCUAUUGCUCAAGCACUAGGAUAGUUGCUUUUUGUGGUCCUGCUCAAAGGUGGAGCGCUCCUAUAUUACGAGGUGUAGGCAAGAAAAAAAACAUGUAGGAAGCCAUGGCGAGAGAAAUUUGCUUCUUUUUCUUCUAUUGUUUAUUUGUUUCAUGGAUCUGAAUGAUGCAUGACUAGCUAGAGCAAAAAAAUGCUAACAAAAAAGUUUGGGAAGCACACUUAUUUUUAUCUAGAUGAAACAUCUCUUCCUUUGUUUCUUCAUAACUCUAAUGCUAUAUCAUUAUUUUUUUGUUUAUAUAGCACCUUACUAAUGAGAUUGAAACUAUGUUAGUGCUGAUCUUAGACAAUUGCCCUAAAUUUUUCCACUUCUGAAACUGAAAAAAAAUACUCAUAUUUCGAAGAAAUAUUUCACGGGGCAACACAACUGCACACGUCAGACGCGGCAGCCAGCAUUCACCGUUCAGCCUAGCGGAUUGAACAGGCCCAGCAACCCAAUACGCCUCCACGGCGGAACCCUCUCCCUCUCGGCCUCUUGCCUCAAUCGGCCCAAAACCCCUAUCCAAGCGUCCAUUCCUGAAUUCCUCCCCGGCCGGCAGCCGCCCCCCGCCGCCGCCAUGAACCCCGCUCACAGCGAGGCGGCCGCUGCUGAGAAGGCGCGGCGAAAGAAGGACAAGAAGGAGAAGAGGAAGAAGCGCAAGGAAGCCAAGGAGGACGACUGCGGCGCCGCGACGGCCGAGGAAGAAGCGCCCAAAGAGAAGAAGCAGAAGCGGAGGAAGGAUGAAGACGAGGGGGAGGGGGAGGGGAAGGGGAAGGAGGAGAAGAAGCUGAAGCCGACGGUGAGCAUCGCCGUUGCCGGCUCCAUCAUCGACAACGCCCAGUCCCUCGAGCUCGCCACCCUCGUUCGUGCUCACCUUUCCUCCUUGUCGCACUACUGCACUAGUCCUUGCAGCACGAAGCCUUACAAGAGCGUCUCUUCUGUUCCAGCUGGCCGGCCAGAUCGCUCGCGCCGCCACCGUCUUCCGCAUAGAUGAGGUCGUCGUCUUUGACAGUACUCCCGCGGCGGAGAACGGCGGCGCAGCUGAUGAUGAAGAGAGCGGCGCGCGGUUCCUUGUUCGGAUUCUGGAGUAUCUGGAAACUCCACAGUACCUCCGUCGCCGCCUCUUCCCGAUGCACAAGAACCUGAAGUUUGUGGUGAGAUUCCAAGCAAUGCGGUUUGCAUUCGACAUUUGAUGGUUUCUCUAGGUACUAAUGGUGCUGUGCUAUUUCUGGUAUGCAGGGAUUGCUUCCACCGCUCGAUGCGCCACACCAUGUGCGCAAGCACGAAUGGUCUGAGUUCCGUGAAGGUGAUAUCCCUUCUGGUGCCCUUGCUAUUGAUUUUAAUUUCUCAGCUCACAAUUUGAAGUAGGUUUCAUGUCGGUCAAAAAGAGUGCUUAACUAGUUAAAAUAACUUUUACCAUUUCUUGUGGAGCUAAUCUAGGAAUAUUGUGUCUUCUCAUAGUUCAAGCACAACACAUGCUGAACAUCUGGAAUGGAACACAAAUGUGCACUUAUAAAUUAGAAUAUGGCCAUUUAAUGCUCUUUUGCUAAUCAAGCUUGCACAUCUUCCUUCUAAAGUUCAAUCUUUACUCAUUGCCUUUGCUCUCGCAUUUGGAAGGUCUGGCCAAACUUGGUUAGUGUAGUAUACAAUACGUUGAUGACAAAGGGGUGUUCCCCUCCGUAGGUUUUGGAUUGCUACUGCUUGUUCAGAGGGGAGAUUUGAAGGUUGACAUCCUUUUAACACUACUGAACUAGUGAUUAGUGAAAGUAAACGAAUACCAAUAUAUGGUGAGGAGAUAUGUAAUUCAAACACACAGUUAGGUGGAAAAGUGCAAAACGAUUUGGCUAGUAGUUAGUACACCAAUUGUUUCUGGGUAUAUUCGAGAUGUAAUUCUCAAACUCUACCUAUGUGGCCUUUGAAGUUCACCCUGUACUGGGAAUAAGAAACUGAAAAAAUUUCUUAUACAUGUUAAAUCAAAUGAAGUUUCGUUGCUAUCCACACCAAGCACAGCUUGUUUUUUCCGUAUCUUGUUUGGAGGUUGAAUUUCAAAUGGUCUUACAACAUAUAGUGCAUCUUGCAUAUUUUUUAAGGAUUUUCUCAUGUUGAUUUGAUAUCCAAACUGGAAGUCUCUUCACCUAAUUCUGUUUUUAAAUUGCAAUAUGCAUCUCUGCUUGGAUUUCUACUGCUUGUUUAAAUCAUGUUCAGCUUGCUCAUGUUGAAAAAUUGUCUGUUUCCCCAUAUUUUGAUAUUUCUGACCCCACAAAAUGCUUACAUGUUACUGAAUUUAGACAGGUGUAACAUUGGAAAGUGAUCCCUCAAAGGGGACUCUUGUUGAUGUCGGAUUAAGUAAGGUAUUAUGGAUCUUCUAGUGUCCUUUUCUUUGUUCUGUGUCACUUUUCUGGGGAAAGGUGUUUACUGAGUUUGAAAAUAUGUUGAAAGACUGGGAAAGCCUAUCAUACCUUACAAUCUAUGGGAGUAUAUAAAUGGACACAACCUUAUGAAAAUCUUAAAUAUCAUUUUGCUUAUGUUAAUUGACUUAUUUUCUGCAAAUAAGGGUUUUUAAGGCAGACAGUGAAGUUAGGAAAAACAAAAUCCCAAGAUUUGACAGACCUUAAUCUACCAUUUACAGAUAAAAAAACAUUUCACAAUGUGUAUUAUCUGAUUUGCACUUAAUGGUUUCAUAUAUAGAACAGAUCACCACUUCCAUGCAAAAAACGUGGCAUUGAUUCUAUAUCAUGAUUCUGCAGAAUGUUCUGGUUGAACAAACACUAGAACCAGGCAAAAGAGUAACUGUAGCCAUGGGAACAAACCGUGACCUAACAACAGGUAAAACAUUUAUUUCAUGGAUUACAAAAUAUGAUCGUGUUGAUACUUCUUUAUCUAUACCUAUUCCAAUGUAUGAAGAAUUUGUACAUGUCUUAAGUAAUCUAGAUAAUCCACAUAAAGGCUAUUCCUAUUUCCUAAGCAUUUACAUUUCGUAGUUCAACACUUCUAUUAUUAGAAUAAAUUCAGUUCAUGAUAUUUGUUGGCUUGUUGCUUCCUCUUCAACUUUUGGUCUUUCUCAUUUCAACUCAUAAGUGUUGUUCUCAAUUUAUUGUUCUGAUGUAUUUUUGCUUGUCAACUCAAUUUUGAAACCAAAUUAUGUUCCCUAUACUUGUGGAGUAUGUCUCUCUAUGUCCUCAUUCUAGAGCAAUAUUAACUUUAACUGUGUACAGUUUUAUUUUGCCAUUUUACUGUAACUUAACUUGUACUUGCAUCUAGCAAGGAAAGUUGUCCCCCCAUCCACACCCAGGGAACAAAUGGGAUCUUAUUGGGGCUACAAAGUUCGUUAUACUUCAAAUUUAAGUGGUGUUUUAAAAAAUUCCCCAUUCAAGGUACUGUUUUCACAUCUCAAUAUGCUGUUCAGAAAAAAAUGUUAUGAUUACUCACUUCCACCUUCCUUCGUUUGUUAUUUACUAUCCCUAGGAAGAAUAUGACCAUAUCAUUGGCACCUCAGAGCAUGGACAAAUAAUUAAUUCUUCUGAGCUUACCUUGCCUACUUUUAGGUAUGUCAUCUGCUGUCCUCAUGGACCACCUUGAGAAACCAAUUUAGAUUUGUUACCAUUGUUUUAUUACUUGAAUGUGUAAAUUACUCCCAAUUUGCUUAGGAUGCUUCAACUUUAUUUGAGUAUGCUAAACUGUACAUUUCAACAAAUAGUCAAAUAGGUGUGGACAUGUGUUUUAUGUGCUAACCUGUGCUAAUAAUUCUUGCUAAGCAGUAAGCAAGUAGCUGCUACUUACCUUUGUGUUAAAUUAUCAUGAAUGGAUAAACAUUUAACCAAGGAAUUUGUACCUUCACUUAACUACUGAAUUGAUACGUUUUAGUAAAAUUCUUUCUAUAGUAACUAUUGGCUAGUAUUGUGCUAUUGCCAUAUUUCAAGGCUGAGCAUUGUGACCAUCUGUGUAUGCUUUAUGAAUGACAUUGCCAUGUAAUAUUAGCGACCAUUGUGAGUCUAUCCUGUCACUUAUGAGGCUUUACUGAAUAGGCACCUACUCAUUGCAUUCGGUGGACUUGCUGGUUUGGAAGAAAGCAUUGAAGAAGAUACAAAUUUGAAGGUAUAGCUGUUCUUUCUGUUAUGAUACUUCAUAUUUCUAGUGAAACCUGAUCUCUUGCAUUGGAAUUAGGAGUUAUGAAAGCAUUUCUGGUCUAUGGUCAAAUUGAGAGUACUUGAAAAUGUCAACAUUGCAUGAGAACCUGAGCUAAUUUGGCAGCUGAAACACUCAGCUUGUGUUUGUGGGAGCUCUUUCAUCACUUAUUAAUUAAUAAUUGCACUAUUACUACUGUUGGUGUUGAAGUCGCUUAUUUCUGUGACAGGGUAAACACGCAGAUGAUGUAUUCACAUCAUAUUUGAAUACAUGCCCCAACCAAGGGAGCAGAACAAUAAGAACAGAGGUACCUGCCUCUUGUAAGAUUUUAAAAGUUCAUUUGUUAUGACAUCUGUUGAUAUGCAACAACAGUAGAUAAUUUUUUUUCCAGGAGGCACUUCUCAUUUCCCUCCAAUACUUCCAAGAUCCAAUUAGGCGCGCAGAACAGAAAAUGUAGAAGGUAAUACAGACACAUGCAAAUCUAGCCAUGCCCAACAAGUUGGCUACGGAGCUUCAGUUGUAAUAGUGGAGUUUUCUCACUGAGAAUUUUGACCCUUCGUUCACGUAUGCGUUGAUGACAGUGGAGCCAAGAGGUUGUGAGCCAUCGAGGACAUUUUGACACAACCAUUUCAGUUUAGAAUAUUUGAUGUGGGGCUGACUUUCAUUGAAAGCGAGUGUUAGCUUUGCCAUUUCAAUUGUAUCCAGUGGUUGUCCACUAUAGUCUAUAUCGCUGUUUCAUGCCUUUGACCCUGUACUAAAAACGGAGGAUGGCUGUUAACACCAUAAGGUCAUGCCUUUGCUAAAGUCUACCUUGUGCCUUCGCUUCAAUAAUUUGCAGUGCUGAUUCUGUUUUAUUGAUAUAGGAGUUUGGUAGUCAAUGAUGCAGUGCUAUUGUAUGCUAGGCGACAUUGUGCUUGAUUUGGAGUCAAUACUGCAUAAUGCCCAUAUUGUACUGGUGCCAUAGUUUAGUUGUCCCUCUGUUCCAUAAUGAAGUAUGUGCACUAGAGAGUAGUGCUGCCCUUAUAUGCCCUCGAGCCAAACCAGAUGGAUUUUGAUCCACUACGGUCUUAGGGUUGCAAUUCUCCAUAAGAGGAGACUAGUGUAUUGCAGAAUUUUUCGUUUGCCAGCGUAACCACCUCCUGGUUAUUGGUGUUUGUGUCGGAGUCGGACACAAAUCACAAUCAAUUCGUGUUUGUGGUCCGCUUUCUUUAUAAACCCCGAUCCGGAGGGGCGAGUCCAGCCCGUGUACGUCUCACGCCACACGCCAGCCACCGCCGUCCUCCCUCCCCAUCCGCCGAGACGCGCGACGCCGGCCGCCGCCAUUUUCGAGCAGCGCGACGCCAAGAAGAUGCCUGGCUAUCACCGAGCCGCGGCGCGCGACGAACUCCGCUCGAAGACGAUGGAGUUGGCUCCGGCCGAGCUCUUCGCCUCUGAUCCGCGCCAGGUGCUCAAGAAGAAGCUCUCCGCCCCUGAUCCGUGCCAGGUGCUGAGGAAGAGGCUCGGCGAGGAGAUGGAGGCUCUCCGCGGCAUCCUCAGGAAGGCCGAGCUCGUGGUACGCAAUAAUGUCGACAAGGGCUACGCGGCACGCCGCCGCCGCAAGGACGGGCAUUUCUUGGCCGCAGAAGCCCGAUCAGAAGCCAUGGUGGUCGACCGUACUCCAUGUGCCAAGAGAAGGAAGGCGACGCCACCCGUGGAGAACAUCGAGCCCCCCCGGAUAUCGAAGGCCGAUCCGAUUCCAUGUGCCAAGAAAAGGAGGAUGAUGCCACCCGUAGAGAUCAUCGAGCCCCGGAUAUCUCAGGACGAGAUCUUCAGCUUGGUUACUCGACUGUCGUCACUCUCGUCGAACAUGCCGGCGCGCAUCGUUGAGUUCCUGAACAAGGAGUGCACCAGUUACACAGAUCAAAAGGCUGGCGAGAUAGAGAUCGAUCUGGAAUCCAUGACGCGCCCCGCCAUGUUCGAGCUGCAAAAGUUGCUAGACGAGUUUGCUGAACAGAAAGGGGAGUCGAUGAACGUCUGCAGAUCCACUAGUCGCUCAUCGCCCCGUAAACUAGAGGAAGGCGAGAUCAUCGAGGAAGGCGAGUUCAUCGAGGAGGAUUGUGGUGCCACUGCCACCACGGCUAUAUGCGGCGGCGAUGCUUCCCCUGUUGUGGCACAGAAGGGCCUUUGUUCACCGCCACCGCCACGAAUACUCGAAGAUGGAGAGAUGACAGAGGAAGAGGGCGCCAGCGCCAUAUGCGGCGACGAUGCCCUUGUUGGGACCGUUGAGACUGCAAAAAGCCCAAGCAACAGCAGCUCGUCUGGAUCCUCCAGCAGCAGCGAUGGUUCUGGAUCUUCUUGCAGCGAUUCAUCAGAUUCCGACAGCAGCGACUCUAACUCCGACGAUGAAUGCGUGACAAGCAAUGUGGCUCCUGUCGUUCUUCCCAUUCCCAAGGCCGACGACGCAUCUGCCAUAGCAAUGCCAGCCAAGGGCAUUUGCUCACCGCCACGAAUCCUCGAAGACAGAGAGAUGACAGAGGAGGAGAUCGACAUAUGCGGCGAUGCCGGUCCUAUUGCCAUCGAGAAGUUUGUUGAAAUAGCAAAAAGCAGUUCGUCUGGAUCUUCCACCAGCGGCGGCAGUUCAUCUGGAUCUUCAUGCAGCGAUUCAUCAGAUUCCGACAGCAGCGACUCUGGCUCCGACGACGAGUGUGUGACAAGCAAUCCAGCUCCUGAAGUUCUUCCCAAGACCGACGCCUCUCCCAUGGCAAUGCCACACAAGAUUCUCAGUGCUAUAACUGAAGAGGAGUUUGCUGAAACCAGGAACAGCCGAAGAAGCAACAAUUCAUUACUUGAAGAUGGCGAGAUAGAAGAGGAGCAGGUGGCUGCAAAGAAGUCUGCUGAAACCGUGAACAGUACAGUAUCCACCAAUGGCCAAUGCCUCAGAAGCAGCCUGCCUCCUGCCGUCCAUAUCGAGCCACCGAAGCCUCAGCCGGCUGCACAAGGCACUGUUCGUCAUUUAAUUGCCAAGGGUUUUGAGAAGAAGCGCGAGAGGGCUGCGGCUGCAAAAGGCACCAUUGGUCAUUUCUAUGCCAAGGAUUUUGAGAAGAAGCGCGAGAGGCAGAGAGCCUACGAAAAGCUGGAAGAGAUGGAGAGGAACGCGAAGGCGAAGCCCAUCUUCGACUGCAUACACCCGGGACACUUGAAGCAGCUAGGGAUCACCACCCCGGUGGAGUACGCCGUCACCUCUGAGCGGCGUCUUCCUGCUCGCCGUGGCUGCCCGGUGCAGAGUCUACUUGGGCUCUUCUUGAAAGCAGGGUAGCAGUAGCACUAGCACACCACGGAGAUGGAAAAGGAGCCACUAGAUACUCCAAGAUCUAUUGGAAACUUAUUACAGUAGGUUCAAAUCAUACAUGAUGAAUGUAUUAGUGUUUAUGUAAUCCGGCUGUACUUUCUGAUGUACUCGUGAUGUUGUAAUUUGUAUGCUGUUGAGUGUUGAGCCCUACCAAAGCUUAUCGAGCAUGAACAGUCUAGUGAACCUGAUGUAUGUAAAGAAUAUUGCCUUGAAACCAGUUGUCAUUGCGCCAUUGUGUUAUACUUGUACCUCUCUUAUAUGCUGAGAAAGCUGUAUAUGACUAGCUAUGUUUGCAGUCUAAGCAUGAAAAUAUUCAUAUAUUCUGAAGGGAAACUGUCCGCAGCAUUGCAAUACAAAAUAUAUGUUCCUAGACCCAGAUGUACCCACGUAUAAUGCUACUGCAUUUGGAGCAAAGCCAAUUUCGUAGACAGAGAUAUACGAUCUACUCGUACACACUUGGUCCAAGUCGGGCAUUAGGCAACGGGUACAAACCCGCUGGGUUUUGCCAUCCCAAACCUAUGCCUACGAAAAUAAAAUCUGCCCGUUAAAAAACUCAUGACCCAUUGCUAGCUCUCAUUACAUACUAAAAUGACUCGCAUGCGCUCAACCUAGCAUGCAUAUUUUACUUGCUAGGUCAAUAUCGACCAAAUAGGCUCCAAAAGGGAAGUCUACAAAUAUUUUUGCAUAACUAUAGGUGAUAUUCCUAUAAUCGUCCUUGCCUAUAAUUUUUGAAUUUAUUUGUUAUCAAGCCAUGUACAAAUAUUUCUAAAAUCAUGAUAGAUAUCAGUAUAUCAUGACAGUAUCUGUUGAAUGUACGACCCACUUGACUUACGAAAAAAUAGUAUUGCUAUAUGUCAAAAGAAUGACUUUGUGGCCUCCAUUUACCGAAUUUGUGGCCACUGGAUCCACGGCCAGACCAUCUCAUCGGAUCUGCAUCGUCGCCAUGGACACCGAGGAAGCUGCGGCUGGUAGCAGCGGGGACAAGUUCAUGUCCACAACUGACAAUGGGCUUGGUGGUAGGGGUAGGGGAGCAACCAUUGCUAGAGUACGUAGCCGCAUCCCCGCCGCCGGCAACAGUGUCGUGCCCUGAGUGACGAUGGUAUCCUUCCUUGGUACCCACCGUCAUUGCCCCCUGGUUGUGGUAGCCGCCAUAGCCUUGGUAGCCGCCGCUGUUGCCCAGGUUAGGGAAGGGCAGGGAUAAGGUGGGGGUGGUUUCC
rnacentral:lncRNA from 1 species